CUACUGAGAUAUUGUCAUGUGU
rnacentral:piRNA from 1 species